AGUGAACGCUGGCGGUAGGCCUAACACAUGCGAGUCGAACGGCAGCACAGUAAGAGCUUGCUCUUACGGGUGGCGAGUGGCGGACGGGUGAGGAAUACAUCGGAAUCUACUUUUUCGUGGGGGAUAACGUAGGGAAACUUACGCUAAGACCGCAUACGACCUACGGGUGAAAGCAGUGGAUCUUCGGACCUUGCGCGAUUGAAUGAGCCGAUGUCGGAUUAGCUAGUUGGCGGGGUAAAGGCCAACCAAGGCGACGAUCCGUAGCUGGUCUGAGAGGAUGAUCCGCCACACUGGAACUGAGACACGGUCCAGACUCCUACGGGAGGCAGCAGUGGGGAAUAUUGGACAAUGGGCGCAAGCCUGAUCCAGCCAUCCCGCGUGGGUGAAGAAGGCCUUCGGGUUGUAAAGCCCUUUUGUUGGGAAAGAAAAGCAGCAGGUUAAUACCCCGCUGUUCUGACGGUACCCAAAGAAUAAGCACCGGCUAACUUCGUG
rnacentral:rRNA from 1 species